rnacentral:rRNA from 1 species
UGAGGAACAUGUCCUUCGGCGGGGAAGUAGCCGGCCUAACGGCCGGGUAAUUCCGCGUACGACGGUUGGGGCGGCAUGCCUCGGCCGUGAAAGCAGCAAUGCGCCGAUGGAGUGCCUCGCGGCCUAUCAGCUAGUUGGUGAGGUAAUGGCUCACCAAGGCGACGACGGGUAGCUGGUCUGAGAGGGUGACCGGCCACACUGGGACUGAGACACGGCCCAGACUCCUACGGGAGCAG